CACUGAUACACACUGGCACUAAAGUAUGAAUGAAUGAGAGCUGCAAUGACAAGCGCCAAGAUACUGAACACAGAGCAGAUGUGCCGACAUGAACACACGCACUAUACUGUUCAAAGGUUUAGAGUGAGUGUGGUUUCCCUUCUGCAUUGCUGAAUUCCACAUCAGUGCAGCUGCUUUAACAACCACACCCAAUCGCCAUCGCGACCGGGCCUC